rnacentral:rRNA from 1 species
CCCUACGGGGCGCAGCAGUAGGGAAUCUUCCACAAUGGACGAAAGUCUGAUGGAGCAACGCCGCGUGAGUGAAGAAGGGUUUCGGCUCGUAAAACCCUGUUGUUAGAGAAGAAAGUGCGUGAGAGUAACUGUUCACGUUUCGACGGUAUCUAACCAGAAAGCCACGGCUAACUACGUGCCAGCAGCCGCAGUAAUACGUAGGUGGCAAGCGUUAUCCGGAUUUAUUGGGCGUAAAGGGUGCGUAGACGGGUAUACAAGUUGGUUGUGAAAUCCCUCGGCUUAACUGAGGAACUGCAACCAAAACU